rnacentral:piRNA from 1 species
UAUCAGAAGAAGUUGAUGAAGCAGCAUU